rnacentral:lncRNA from 1 species
UUAUUUUCCACUUUCCCUUGACAUUGUCAUCUUCAAGAGUGCUCCCUGAUUGCUGCCAUUGGAACUCGAAGCUCCGUUCCCUUCUUCUUUGGGUGGUGUUCAAGCUAAAUCCAUGGUGGAUCUUAGUUGAAUUCUUAAUAUCAGCUUCACUCUUCUCAGGUGAGAAAUGUUGCAUUUGUAAGAUCUUCUUCUGUGUUUUCAAAAGUAAAAUCUUCCUCCCGUUUUUCGUCAGGUAGUCUUGGGUCUGCAAAAGACCAGCUUUCCAGAUGCUGGAACGUCUCCCUAUCCCUACCUUUUGGUGAUCUUCCAGGCAUACUGUUAAACCCUCCUUUCUAUGCUCUUUAAUUUCCUUUGUUGCUGCUGCUACCUGUUGCACUCUGUUAUAUUUGUACAUAUGCAUGCUACUUACUAUGUUGAUUAUUACUGAACUAUUGAUCCUUGUCAAUGUUUAGAAGCCACCUUGUUUUCACUGUUACCUGUUGGUAUGAGUGGUAUUCUUGCAUGUCUUGUGUCUCUAUUAUUGCAUUUGCCAAAGAGUCGGGCACUGAGUUGCCUUCUCUAAAUAUAUG